AUCUGGGCUCACUGCAACCUCCGCCUCUCGGGUUCAAGUGAUUCUCCUGCCUCAGCCUCUGGCAAUUUCUAGAGGGAGGAAUGGGUGUUUGAGUGCAGGGACACUGGUCUGGGGUGACCCAUGGAGGACCAUUAAAAUGUGACACCUUUCCUUUCUAUUAAUGUUGACUUCCCUUGGUGGGAUUCCCUUCUCUUCCCAGCCCGAGACAUGAGGCUACAUCCCACAUGGCAGGCAGCGUUGGGUCCACAUCUCUGCACACCUGCUUGCUCUGGUCCUUGGCAUGUCACACAGUCCACUUCACUUCUCAUUAUCACACUCCCUGUGUGCUUUACUGAGCCUCCAUCUCUUCAGUUCAGAGUUCCACACCUGAACCAGUAACUAAAUCCAUGGGAGAAGAUCAGAUGCCCUCCAGGAAAAGAUAAAUCCAAAAUGGCGUCCUAACCUCCUGUCUGUAGCCUUCAAGCCCCAUUCACUCUUUUUUUUUUUUUUUUUUUUUUGAGAUGGAGUCUCUCUUUGUCACCCAGGCUGGAGUGUAGUGGCACUAUCUCGGCUCAUUGCAACCUCCACUGCCCGAGUUCAAGCAAUUCUCCUUCCUCAGCCUCCCAAGUAGCUGGGACUACAGGCGCACGCCACCAUGCCAAGCUAAUUUUUGUAUUUUUAGUAGUGACAGGGUUUCACCAUGUUGGCCAGGAUAGUCUCGAUCUCCUGACCUCGUGAUCUGCCCGCCUCGGCCUCCCAAAGUGCUGGGCUUACAGGCGUGAGCCACCGCACCCGGCCUGUAGUGACUGGGUUUCACCAUGUUGGCCAGGAUAGUCUCGAUCUCCUGACCUCGUGAUCUGCCCACCUCGGCCUCCCAAAGUGCUGGGAUUACAGGAGUAAGCCACUGCGCCUGGCCUAGCCCCCUGUCUUGAUUAUAUGCUCAGGGUCCUGGGACCAGGGUCAUCCCUAGGAUGAGGGUCCAGGGAGAGGGUCCUAGAGUAGAGGAUGCGAUGAGGCAGUGGUCCAAGGAGAGCAACUUAGAAAAGGAGAGUGAGAGGCCUGGAGAUUACAAAGACCCACACCAAGAGUCUAACAGGAGCUGAGAGAGAGGAGGCCAGUCCCUCAGUUCGGGGUCCAGGACAUGUGGGAAGGGGCUGCUUUGUACACACUGCAACCUUCAUAUUUCCUAGAAAUGUACAAGAAACCCUCCAUUUGUCUGAGCCAGGGCCCUUAGUGUCCUCGGGAGAGAACUUGACCUUGCAGUGCUACUCAGAGAUCUGCUUGGGUACCUUCUGUCUGUCCAAGGACAGGUCACUUGUGCCUCCCCAAAGCCAUCGAUUGAAAGACAUGGCCUUACUCUCUCAGGCCAAGUUUACACCAAGCCCUUUGACUUCAGCCCACAGGGGGACCUACUAGUGCUGUGGUCCACAUAGUUCCUCCUUACACCCAUUGUCACUCCUCAGUGACCCCUAAAGAUUUUGGUCUCAGUAUAGGAGCUCCAAGCACCACAUCCGUUAAGAUUCUAAACCCUUAGCAUGCAUCCCUGUGCUAGGAGAGCCCUGGCCUGGGAUAGAAGGAAGGAAAAACAGCAGGGACCAGUCAUAGAGCAAUCCCAUCUCAGAAAGGGAUGAAGAAAGUCAUGAAAGUCGGGGUGAUUCUCACUCUCACUCCAUGCCUUACCCUACUCGGGGGUCACAGAAGGUGCUGGGUGAGUGGAAUGAGAAGACUUGAAAAAGUUGGGGGCCAACCUUUGAGCAAAAGAGAUGAAGCUGAGGAACAGAGCAAGAGGCACCACAACCCCACCUACUCCUUCUGUCCCUGCUCCAAACAGUCUGUGGGAUCUGCAGCUCCUCACCCUCAUGGACUCACUUCAUGUUGGCUGAGCAACAAGGUCCUCACAGACUACAGGAGUCACAGUCUCCUGCAGCUCUGGGCUGAGUUUCUCAGCUUAUUCUUCUGCCCUUGAAGUCUUUACAGAAGAGGUUGUUUCCAGAGAGCCUGGGAAGGAAGGUAGAGAUGAAGGGAGGGAGCCUUAUUUUCCAAGCAGCAUUGAGGUCUUUUGUUCCUGCUGGGUGGUCAGUAUGAGGUGAAAUGUGUAAAGAAAAAGAUGAGCAUAAGGAUAGGAACAAUAGACACUGUGGAUUACUAGAGGAUGGAAGAGGGUUAAAAACUACUUAUUGGGUAUUAUGCUCACUAGUUGGGGGAUGCGAUCCGUACUCCAAACCUCAGCAUCAAGCAAUAUUCCCAUGUAACAAAUUUGUACUUGUACUCCCUGUAUCUGAAAUAAAAGUUGGAAGGAAGGAAGAGAAAGAAAGAAAGAAGGAAAGAGAGAGAAAGAAAGAAAGGAAAGAAGGGGAGAGAGAGAAAAGAAAGAAAGAGAAAGAAAGAGAGAAGGAGAGAAAGAAAGAAAGAAAGGAAAGGGGAGAAAGAGAGAAAAGAAAGAAAGAGAAAGAGAGAAAGAAAGAAAGAAAGAAAGAAAGAGAAAGAAAGAAAGAAAGAAAGAAAGAGAAAACGAACAAGAGGUCCAGCUGAAGCGGAGAGAGGAGUGGACCCUAUUCCUUGCCCCUGUCCAUGGUGCUGAUUCCUAGGGAUUGCAAAGAUGCCCCAGGCACCUGUGGAAUCAGGUCCGCAAUCAGAAGAGCAGACUAAAAGGUCCCUCUUAUUCUGUAGGACAAGUGGGUGUGAAGUGGAGAUGGCUCAACCACUCUAAGAUAGACGCCUUUAGCAAACUCUAUCUAAAUCUGGGAUAGUACUCUUCCAUCCAUCAAAGGCAGAAUGCCAUCCUUGUUUCCAAAAGGUAUCUCAGUUCUAAACUUCUGUACCAGUAACUUCCUGGGAAAGAACGUAUCAGAAUUCACUUUUUCUGUGACUCCUGUCUACUCUGGACAUAUUUUGUCUCCACCAUUAACUGUUUUCAUCCUGUGGAGGUAGGAAUAAAAGCAAGAUAGCAGUUUUCUGAUUAGAUUUCCAUAAUCAUCAUGUUGUCACCCUGGCAGGAGAAACCACAACACUGAGUACUUGAAAGAUAAUCUCUCCUGGGUUUGAAACUUCCUGUACAGUGGCGUGAUCUCUGCUCACUGCAACCUCCGCCUCCCGGGCUCAAGCGAUUCUCCUGCCUCAGCCUCUUGAGUAGCUGGGAUUUACAGGCGUGCACCACCAUUUCCGGCUAAUUUUGUAUUUUUAGUAGAGACGGGGUUUCACCAUGUUGGUCAGGCUGGUCUUGAACUCCUGACCUCAAGUGAUCCACCCACCUCGACCUCCCAAAGUGCUGGGAUUACAGGUGUGAGCCACUGCACCCGGCCACAUAUCUCCUUAUUCUAGUUAUUCUCAGAGAGUAUUCUGUGUAUUUAUAUUUCUCUCCAUCCAAUGAUUUGAGAUGCAUGGUUUUAUUGUAGAUAGGUUUUUUUCUCAUUUUAUGUCUUUAUUGAUUUUUACUUAAUUUAUUGCACAUCUGUGAAUACAGAUCUAUGUUACUUCACAGCACUUAUUAAAUUUCCUCAUAAUCAAAUAAGUGUUGUCCACACUAGGAAACUUUCUGCAUAUUUGUUGAAUACUUCAAUCAGCUGAUCCUAUAUUGAAUAAUAUUAUUUUUCUGGAUCUUCAUAUAAUGACCACUUUCUCAUUUUUUCAUUCUUACCAAACCUGUCACAUCCUCAAAGACAUUUUCCAUGACAAAGUGGGUAAAGUGAUUCUUGCCCACCUGUAUUCUCUAAUAGUCCUUGUAUUAGGUUAACAUACAUUCGAGAUCUCUAGGUAGCUUAAUUUUUUUGUCCAUGUAUCCAUCUGCACAUGUUGUUUUCUAAUUUAUCUCCUUAAAAUUUUUUGCUUUUUUCUCAUGAGUUUCUACAUUGAAUUAACAAUGGGAGAUUUUGUUCACUGUAGUAUUUCUUGCUCCUGGAAAAGAGGCUUGGAUGCAGCC
rnacentral:lncRNA from 1 species